rnacentral:rRNA from 1 species
GCUAACGUCCGUCGUGAAGAGGGAAACAACCCAGACCGCCAGCUAAGGUCCCAAAGUCAUGGUUAAGUGGGAAACGAUGUGGGAAGGCACAGACAGCCAGGAUGUUGGCUUAGAAGCAGCCAUCAUUUAAAGAAAGCGUAAUAGCUCACUGGUCGAGUCGGCCUGCGCGGAAGAUGUAACGGGGCUAAACCAUGCACCGAAGCUGCGGCAGCGACACUAUGUGUUGUUGGGUAGGGGAGCGUUCUGUAAGCCUGCGAAGGGGUGCUGUGAGGCAUGCUGGAGGUAUCAGAAGUGCGAAUGCUGACAUAAG